CUACGGGAGGCAGCAGUGAGGAAUAUUGGGCAAUGGGGGAAACCCUGACCCAGCAAUGCCGCGUGCGGGAAGACGCCUUUCGGGGUGUAAACCGCUUUUCUGCAUGAAGAGGAAGGACGGUAGUGCAGGAAUAAGUCUCGGCUAACUACGUGCCAGCAGCCGCGGUAAAACGUAGGAGACGAGCGUUAUCCGGAAUUACUGGGCGUAAAGCGCGUGUAGGCGGAAGUGUAAGUCUUUUGUGAAAGCUCCUGGCUAAACUGGGAGAGGUCGAAAGAUACUGCACAUCUCGAGUAUGGGAGGGGGUGUGGAAUUCCAGGUGUAGUGGUGAAAUGCGUAGAUAUCUGGAGGAGCACCAGUGGCGAAGGCGGCACCCUGGCCCAAGACUGACGCUAAGACGCGAAAGCAUGGGGAGCGAACGGGAUUAGAUACCCGGGUAGUCC
rnacentral:rRNA from 1 species